GAUGAACGCUGGCGGCGUGCCUAAUACAUGCAAGUCGAGCGAACAGAUGAGGAGCUUGCUCCUCUGACGUUAGCGGCGGACGGGUGAGUAACACGUGGAUAACCUACCUAUAAGACUGGGAUAACUUCGGGAAACCGGAGCUAAUACCGGAUAAUAUAUUGAACCGCAUGGUUCAAUAGUGAAAGACGGUUUUGCUGUCACUUAUAGAUGGAUCCGCGCCGCAUUAGCUAGUUGGUAAGGUAACGGCUUACCAAGGCAACGAUGCGUAGCCGACCGGAGAGGGUGAUCGGCCACACUGGAACUGAGACACGGUCCAGACUCCUACGGGAGGCAGCAGUAGGGAAUCUUCCGCAAUGGGCGAAAGCCCGACGGAGCAACGCCGCGUGAGUGAUGAAGGUCUUCGGAUCGUAAAACUCUGUUAUUGGGGAAGAACAAAUGUGUAAGUAACUAUGCACGUCUUGACGGUACCUAAUCAGAAAGCCACGGCUAACUACGUG
rnacentral:rRNA from 1 species